UACGGAGGGUGCAAGCGUUAUCCGGAUUUACUGGGUUUAAAGGGUGCGUAGGCGGGCCAUUAUGUCAGUGGUGAAAGCUCCGAGCUUAACUCGGAAACUGCCAUUGAUACUAUUGGUCUUGAAUUCGGUCGAGGUUGGCGGAAUGUGUCGUGUAGCGGUGAAAUGCUUAGAUAUGACACAGAACACCGAUUGCGAAGGCAGCUAGCUAGACCGACAUUGACGCUGAGGCACGAAAGCGUGGGGAUCAAACAGG
rnacentral:rRNA from 1 species